GACGAACGCUGGCGGCGUGCCUAAUACAUGCAAGUCGAACGCAGUGGGGACGGGUGAGUAACACGUGGGUAACCUCCCCAUCAGAAGGGCUAACACUUGGAAACAGGUGCUAACCCGAUCCUGCUGGAUUGACCCGCGGUGCAUGAGCUAGUUGGGUAGGUAACGGCUCACAAAGGCCACGAUGCAUAGCCGACCUGAGAGGGUGAUCGGCCACACUGUGACUGAGACACGGGCCAGACUCCUACGUGAGGCAGCAGUGGGGAAUAUUGCACAAUGGGCGCAAGCCUGAUGCAGCCAUGACGCGUGUAUGAAGAAGGCCUUCGGGUUGUAAAGUACUUUCAGCGGGGAGGCGUUACCCGCAGAAGAAGAACCGGCUAACUCCGUGCCAGCAGCCGCGGUAAUAC
rnacentral:rRNA from 1 species